rnacentral:rRNA from 1 species
UACGAAGGGGGCUAGCGUUGCUCGGAAUCACUGGGCGUAAAGCGCACGUAGGCGGCUUGUUAAGUCAGGGGUGAAAUCCUGGAGCUCAACUCCAGAACUGCCUUUGAUACUGGCGAGCUUGAGUUCGGGAGAGGUGAGUGGAACUGCGAGUGUAGAGGUGAAAUUCGUAGAUAUUCGCAAGAACACCAGUGGCGAAGGCGGCUCACUGGCCCGAUACGUGACGC